AUUGAACGCUGGCGGCAUGCUUUACACAUGCAAGUCGAACGGUAACAGGCCGCAAGGUGCUGACGAGUGGCGAACGGGUGAGUAAUGCAUCGGAACGUGCCCAGUCGUGGGGGAUAACGCAGCGAAAGCUGCGCUAAUACCGCAUACGAUCUAUGGAUGAAAGCGGGGGGACCGUAAGGCCUCGCGCGAUUGGAGCGGCCGAUGUCAGAUUAGGUAGUUGGUGGGGUAAAAGGCUCACCAAGCCAACGAUCUGUAGCUGGUCUGAGAGGACGACCAGCCACACUGGGACUGAGACACGGCCCAGACUCCUACGGGAGGCAGCAGUGGGGAAUUUUGGACAAUGGGCGCAAGCCUGAUCCAGCAAUGCCGCGUGCAGGAAGAAGGCCUC
rnacentral:rRNA from 1 species